rnacentral:lncRNA from 1 species
GCUACUUUCCCUUGCCCUAUGACUAAAUAACACAGUUCUUCUCUAGCUCUUUUGUAGGUCAUCUUAAGGAACUGGAAGGAGCUCCAAGGUCUCCCUGCAGCCUUCUCUUUCCCAGGCUGAACAGACCCAGCUCUCCCAGGCUGUUUUCACAGGAUGGAGCUCUAGCCCUUUGAUCAUCUCUCUGGCCUCCUCUGGGCUCACUGGGAAGAAUGCUGGAGUGUUUUCUGGAUAAAAGAAAGGCUGAAGACAGAAAUAUGUGAGAAGAUCAAGGAAGAUGCAAAUGGAAAAGCCUCUGGAAACUUUGGAGCAGCAGUUAGAUGAGCUUGCAUCCUUCACUCUGAAGGAAAUGAAAUGAAGUCACACAUCCAGCUAUACAGAUAUACUGCUGAGCAGCAGCCAGCGUGAGAAGAGUUUGCUGACAAGAAAUGAAUAACAACAGAAGGUAAAAAUCCCAGGCAGCACUAAUGGUGCUCAAAUAAUCUUUUGUGAAACAGAAACACUCUAAGUAAGGAUCCUGAAUUUUGAGGUUUGCAAUUUUUCAGCUGUACAAUAUAAGAAAACUUUACAGCAUUUUGUGGAAAUUAAAAUAGGUAUUCCAUAAGUGGUCU